rnacentral:snRNA from 2 species
AUACUUACCUGGCGUGGAGGUCAACCGUGAUCAUAGAGGCGGUUCCUCCAGGGCGAGGCCGAUUCAUUGCACACAGAAUCGGUUGACCCCUGCGAGUAUCCCUAAUGUGGAUACCUCGGGCGCAGAAUUUUUGUUAGCUGGGACUGCGUACGCGCCGUCCCUC